UGUCAUUGCUCUUUUUCAGUUUCUGGACAUUUCUCUGGCUUCGGUUGCACCGAACUCCUUUAGGUUUUUGAUAGGGUUUCUCUCUCUUUGUCAUGUAGUCGAAGUCCAGCCCACCCUUUCCUUGUUUAGAUACUUCUACACCUUCAAGCGUCAUCCCACGGCGAAGGAUUGGUGGUACUUCUCCCCUCAGUUCGGUAGGAAGGGGUUACUGAAGGGUGCCCCUUCUUCUAUCCAUAACUGGAAGGGGAAGUUUCUUUAUAUUCGAUGCCCGACCUUGAGGCUAGAGUUGCCCCCUUGGGGCUCC
rnacentral:lncRNA from 1 species